rnacentral:rRNA from 1 species
UACGUAGGGUGCAAGCGUUAAUCGGAAUUACUGGGCGUAAAGCGUGCGCAGGCGGUUUUGUAAGACUGUCGUGAAAUCCCCGGGCUUAACCUGGGAAUGGCGAUGGUGACUGCAAGGCUAGAGUUUGGCAGAGGGGGGUAGAAUUCCACGUGUAGCAGUGAAAUGCGUAGAUAUGUGGAGGAACACCGAUGGCGAAGGCAGCCCCCUGGGUCAAAACUGACGCUCACGCACGAAAGCGUGGGGAGCAAACAGG